GAAAUGCGAUAAGUAGUGUGAAUUGCAGAAUUCAGUGAAUCAUCGAAUCUUUGAACGCGCAUUGCGCCCCUUGGUAUUCCAUGGGGCAUGCCUGUUCGAGCGUCAUUUGUACCCUCAAGCUCUGCUUGGUGUUGGGUGUUUGUCCCCGUCUCCGCGCGUGGACUCGCCCCAAAGUGAUUGGCAGCCGGCGUACUGGUCCCGGAGCGCAGCACAUGUCGCGCAAACGAGUGCCUUGGUACGGCGGCGUCCAUAAGCCCCUCUCUCACGCUCUUGACCUCGGAUCAGGUAGGGAUACCCGCUGAACUUAAGC
rnacentral:misc_RNA from 1 species